UUAUAGUUAUUUUCUCUUCUAUUAAUUAUUUUCUUUUGUUUUACUGUUUUAUUUAUUGCAGCUUGGUUUAUUUGUUUUUAAGUUUUUUUUUUAUUUAUUUUCUGGGUCUCUAUUUUAUCGACAUCUUUCAUUUCAUACUCAGUUAAUCUUAAUCGUCGUUUAUAGUUAUUUUCUCUUCUAUUAAUUAUUUCCUUUUGUUUUACUGUUUUAUUCAUCGCAACUUGGUUUUAUUUGUGUUUUAAGCCUCUUUUUUUUCUUUGUUUAAGUCUGCUGGUGUGGGUCUUCAUUUAUCGAUAUUGUACAUUAUUGUACCCAGUUACUUAAUCUUAUCUUCACCCUUCUCUUUUUAUGUCUUAUCUAAUACAACUGUGCUUAUUAGAGAUUUAACGUUAUUUCUAUUAUUUUUUUACUUAUUUGUAAUUUUCCACGGAUAUAAACAAAUAUUUCAAAAGGAAGACAAGAAAAUGGUAUACCGAUAAAUUUAUUAACAUUUAUGGCUUAAUACAAAUAAAUUAGACCAUAUCUUAUAAAAUCAACUUAAAAUUCAAUAGGCAACCUUCCAGUAAACAAAAAUUAACGUUAUAGUAACUUAAUAAUAAUAAUAAUAAUAAUAAUAAUAAUAAUAAUAAUAAUAAUAAUAAUAAUGGUACUUAUAUAAUGAAUAGUAAUAAUUUUAAGUAAGGUAUUUAAGUAUAAGGCACUUGAGAUCGUUAAAUAAGUGUGUGUGUGUGUGUGUGUGUGUGUGUGUGUGUGUGUGUGUGUGUGUGUGUGUGUGUGUGUGUGUGUGUGUGUGUGUGUGU